GCUGGCGGCAUGCCUAACACAUGCAAGUCGAACGGUAACAGGACUAGCUUGCUAGUUGCUGAUGAGUGGCGGACGGGUGAGUAAUGUAUAGGGAUCUGCCUGACAGUGGGGGACAACAGCCGGAAACGGCUGCUAAUACCGCAUACGCUCUACGGAGGAAAAGUGGGGGACCUUCGGGCCUCACGCUGACAGAUGAACCUAUAUCAGAUUAGCUAGUUGGUGGGGUAACGGCUUACCAAGGCGACGAUCUGUAGCUGGUCUGAGAGGAUGAUCAGCCACACUGGGACUGAGACACGGCCCAGACUCCUACGGGAGGCAGCAGUGGGGAAUAUUGGACAAUGGGGGCAACCCUGAUCCAGCAAUGCCGCGUGUGUGAAGAAGGCCUUCGGGUUGUAAAGCACUUUCAUUGAGGAGGAAAAGCUGUGCGUUAAUAGCGUACAGCCGUGACGUUACUCAAAGAAGAAGCACCGGCUAACUCCGUG
rnacentral:rRNA from 1 species